AUCACUUCUCAGCCUUUUGGCUAAGAUCAAGUGUAGUAUUAACAUUGUAAUAGAUAUCUUUUGGGGAACAUGAUGAAAGAUGAAUACAGUUCUCUUGGUUAUAAAUCUGACAAUAGAAUUCUUGGCUUAUAGGUUAUACCACAU
rnacentral:snRNA from 1 species